rnacentral:rRNA from 1 species
CACGUAGGGGACGAGCGUUGUCCGGAUUCAUUGGGCGUAAAGCGCGCGUAGGCGGCUCGGAAAGUCGGUCGUGAAAUGCCGGGGCUCAACCCCGGGACUGCGUCCGAUACUCUCGAGCUGGAGGCAGGUAGGGGAGAUCGGAAUUCCUGGUGGUAGCGGUGAAAUGCGCAGAUAUCAGGAAGAACACCCGUGGCGAAGGCGGCUCUCUGGUACGUGACUGACGCUGAGACGCGAAAGCGUGGGAGCAAACAGGAUAGAA